GUCCAGGACACAUUCAGCUCGGUUUUCCUUUUUUAUUUAAUAAGAAAGCAGGUGCUUUAAAUAAUAACAAACAAACAAAAUUCCUUGCUCUUACUAGACAGAAAUCACUAUCUGUAAUUGGGUGGCUUUCCCACUUACCAAUUUCCCCCCCCAAAAAAAUGGAUUUGCAAAAAACACAAUUGUUAUCUUUCCUAGCUCACUUUUUCUCCCUCACUUUGCAGCAGGCUGCUCUCUUCUUUUAAAGGCCUGUCUGCUAAUUGACUAGCUACAGGUGAGUGCCAAUUAGUAAACUCUUAAAGGACCACUAUAGUGCCAGGAAAACAUACUCGUUUUCCUGGCACUAUAGUGCCCUGAGGGUGCCCCCACCCUCAGGGACCCCCUCCCGCCCGGCUCUGGAAAGGGGUAAAAAUGUACCUUUUUCCAGCGCUGGGCGGAGAGCUCUCCUCCUCCGUUCCGCCCCCUCCGUUCUCCUCCUCCGUUCCGCCCCGAGCUGCGCGCGCAUUCAGC